GAGAGGUGUGCACAACUUCUUCGAACAUUCAUUGAAGUGCUUUGUGAUAGACCACCUGGUCAUGAUUGGGAGCUUGAACCAGGUUUUACCUGUAGUGACUAUCUGUUUGGAAUGCUUCAGGUGUCGAAGCUGGGAAAAAGGCAGCAACAGAGGUAUUAGCUCUUCAGAAAUGGGUGUUGGCUUUACUCAACGAGGCUAGAUAUCUUACUAGAACAAGCUCUACUAAGAUGGAAACUAUAAGCUCUUAAGAAAUGGGUUUCUGGUUCAUUUUCUUGAAAUUCAGAUAGCUUUGUUAAUUUUGCCUUGGUGUUGCAUUUUUCACUUACAAGGAGCUUGUCGAGCCUCUGACUCUUGAAGAAGUAGCUGAACAUUGCCAUGCUCCUGAAGAGAUCAUCGCUCACAUUGCUGCCUACAACAGAGCAAUGAUUGCUGAGGGCAGUUGUGGAUCACCUAGAAGCAUCAAAGUUUUCCUCGGGGAGUGUAAUGUUGAUGAAUUAUAUGCUUGAUUUUCGCAGAAGUUGGGUGUCUCGCUGCGCACCUCUUCGUAAAUUUUCAAUAAGCUGAUUUUGAUUGUGGUACUGAAUCUUCUUCAGAACGGGGGAUAAUUUGGGAGAUGGAAUUCUUUUACUGGAAGAUCUUUGUCUUUCAAAAUUUUUUGGAAUUCUAGAGUCUGCAUGUCACUUUACAAUAUGCUCCAGGCUCUUACCAUGCCGCCAUAUGCAUGGAAAAGCGUGAAGCUGUCAAAGUUAAGAUACGAGUUUUCACUGUGCAUUCUAAGGAUAAAGCAGGUCUGUGCGCAUUAGUUGGACCAAAUAAUUAUUGUAGAGUUCUGAAUGUUUAAGUGUUUGCUAUUACUUGCCGGCAAAGGGCCCACUCCAUUGAAGUUAACUAUGAGGAAAACAAUACCAUAUGUGAGAGAUGAACUUUUUUCUGGACCCAGUGCUGUUGGAAUCAGUGACUUGAUUUGAGGAUUUAUUAUUUGUGUUCUGUGGUAACAUUUAUGGC